rnacentral:rRNA from 1 species
CUACAUGAAGCUGGAAUCGCUAGUAAUCGCGAAUCAGAAUGUCGCGGUGAAUACGUUCCCGGGUCCUUGUACACACCGCCCGUCACACCAUGGGAGUCGGAAAUGCCCGAAGUCAGUGACCCAACCGAGAGGAGGGAGCUGCCGAAGGUGGAGCCGGUAACUGGGGUGAAGUCGUAACAAGGUAAC